rnacentral:rRNA from 1 species
UACGAAGGUGGCAAGCGUUGUUCGGAUUUACUGGGCGUACAGGGAGCGUAGGCGGUUAGAUAAGCCCUCCGUGAAAUCUCCAGGCUUAACCUGGAAAGUGCAGAGGGGACUGUUCAGCUAGAGGAUGGGAGAGGAGCGCGGAAUUCCCGGUGUAGCGGUGAAAUGCGUAGAGAUCGGGAGGAAGGCCGGUGGCGAAGGCGGCGCUCUGGAACAUUUCUGACGCUGAGGCUCGAAAGCGUGGGGAGCAAACAGG